UAUAGAAUAAAAAGAAGAGAAAUUACUGCUUUAACUAACGUGUUAUUAAGGCCAUGAAUAUGAAUUAUUAUUUUUUUCUGAAAAAGCAAGCAGUGUGGUACUACAUGCUGGUAUACAAUAAAGGGUUUUUACAUGGAAAUUUACUCAGGCUUAAAUUUUCUUAACAUAUUCUAUGCAAGGUUGAAAAUAGAAAUCAAACUG
rnacentral:lncRNA from 1 species